CCUACGGGGAGCUGCAGUGGGGAAUAUUGGACAAUGGGCGAAAGCCUGAUCCAGCCAUGCCGCGUGUGUGAAGAAGGCCUUCGGGUUGUAAAGCACUUUCAGUGGGGAAGAAAGCCUUGGGGCUAAUACCCUCGAGGAAGGACAUCACCCACAGAAGAAGCACCGGCUAACUCCGUGCCAGCAGCCGCGGUAAUACGGAGGGUGCGAGCGUUAAUCGGAAUUACUGGGCGUAAAGCGCGCGUAGGCGGUCUGAUAAGCCGGUUGUGAAAGCCCCGGGCUCAACCUGGGAACGGCAUCCGGAACUGUCAGGCUAGAGUGCAGGAGAGGAAGGUAGAAUUCCCGGUGUAGCGGUGAAAUGCGUAGAGAUCGGGAGGAAUACCAGUGGCGAAGGCGGCCUUCUGGACUGACACUGACGCUGAGGUGCGAAAGCGUGGGUAGCAAACAGGAUUAGAUACCCGAUAGUC
rnacentral:rRNA from 1 species